AAAUUUAAUUUAGUCAUCAGUCGGUGACGACUCAAUGAGUUCAGUCGCAUGGUGACGACUCAAUGAGAACGAAGUCUGACUGACCAGCUAGAACCUUGGUCAGAGGGAGAAAUGAAGUUUACUGUCAGCAACUGUGAGACAACGGCCCACAACCCUGCAACUCUCAUUAGCUCAAAUUCUGUUCUCUUAGAACAUCAUUCUAUCUUUCUCUGUAAUUACUACUAAACAAUGAAGAGAACACAAACACAAACUUUACUUCGCAUGCUUUUGGAUUUAUCAUAACCUGCUCGUCGAGGCAAGGCAUUAUAACGUAACGGUAAAUAAAUAUUUCCUUAAAA